UUCAUUCAUGUGUGAGAUCAUUGUCUUUAAUUGUGCACAUUUUGGAAAAUAACCAUAAAGAUAUACUUGAUGAUCACGAAACAUGGUUCCAAAGUUGCACAAUAAUCUGUCAUUCCAGCGUAUAUAGAACCCCGAAUUUGAGCGUUAUAGCUUCUCGAGAUUACCGCUGAGCCACUUGGAGAACUGUUCUGUUUGAAAUAUUCUGUUUUUCGUCAUUCUGUGUGUCUUGAUUGCUAUCGCCAACGCCGGACUCCUUGGUCCAGCUGCUUUUGGUCCUGCCGGAUUCACGGGAGCUGGUCUCGUAGCAGGUCCAGCUGCAUUUGCCGCAGGUCCUGGUUUUGGCGUUGCUCCUGCCGCUGCCGCUGCUCCCGCUGCCGUGACGGGUAGCUCUGCUGUAACAGUCAGUACCGACAACCAACGUGCUCUUCCCUAUGGAGGCGCGCUAGGUGGUGUUUCCGGUUUGGGUUAUG